UGCCAGCAGCGCGUAAUCCAGCUCCAAUAGCGUAUAUUAAAGUUGUUGCAGUUAAAAGCUCGUAGUUGAAUUUCGGGAUCAAUACGUCGGUCGUGCUUCGGUACGUACUAACGUCAUUGAUUUCUCCCUUCUGACGAAUCGUGAUGUCAUUAAUUUGGUGUUACGGGAGUUAGGACUGUUACUUUGAAAAAUUAGAGUGUUUAAAGCAAGCAAUCGCUCGAAUACAUUAGCAUGGAAUAAUGAAAUAGGACGUUCGAACCUAUUUUGUUGGUUUCUAGGAUCGACGUAAUGAUUAAUAGGGAUAGUUGGGGGCAUUAGUAUUCAAUUGUCAGAGGUGAAAUUCUUGGAUUUAUUGAAGACUAACUACUGCGAAAGCAUUUGCCAAGGAUGUUUUCAUUAAUCAAGAACGAAAGUUAGGGGGAUCGAAGACGAUCAGAUACCGUCGUAGUCUUAACCAUAAACUAUGCCGACUAGGGAUCGGAUGAUGUUAAUUUUUUAAUGACUCAUUUGGUGCCUUACG
rnacentral:rRNA from 1 species